rnacentral:tRNA from 1 species
ACUAUUUUGGCAGAUUAGUGCAAUAAAUUUAGAAUUUAUUUAUGUAGGUUAAACUACAAAUAGUA